rnacentral:tRNA from 1 species
AGCCUCGUAGCUCAAGUGGCUAGAACACUGGUUCUACUAAGGCCUUCCACCUGCUCUCAUGGGUUCGAAUCCCAUCGAGGCCA